AUAAAGAGAUAACCAAGAUGGCGGCAAAGAUAGUAGAGAUUCUUCAGAAAAAAAGACAAGAGUCUGCUGAACCUGAGACAGCAGACAAAAAUGACAUGCAGUCAAAGGCAUCAGGAGGGUACAGCUUGGCACACAGACUUUGAUUGGAAGUUGGAAGAUGAAUCCCCUUUAAUGGCAAGACUUCAAAAAGGAAGAUAUUUCAGCACAAAUCUUUGAGGCCUUAAAACUGUAAAAUUAGAUGAGCUAAUUAUGUCUUGUUUAUUUACUAUAUUUUUAUAACGCCAAAGGUUUCAAACUCGCUCCCUAUAGAGUUUAGACAAACUACAUGCUUCACAUUCAAGAGGAAUUUUGAGAAACUAUUUGCAUUAGUUUGCUUGUUUACCUCAUGUAUUGUUCUUAUAUGGUUAUUGUUAUAUCUUCUUAUUUUUG
rnacentral:sRNA from 1 species